GUGGGUGAGGCGUGAUGCGUAGACCUUUGUGGUUGAUGUUGGUGAUCCUGUACUGUCGAGAAAAGCCUCUAGCGAGUGCAUAUAUGGCCCGUACCCAUAACCGACACAGGUGGUCAGGUAGAGAAUACUAAGGCGAUCGGGUGAACUGUGGUUAAGGAACUCGGCAAAUUGCCCCCGUAACUUCGGGAGAAGGGGGACCAUUGCUGGUGACCGACGUGGUUGAGCUGGUGGUGGUCGCAGAGAAUAGAGGGAAGCGACUGUUUAUUAAAAACACAGGUCCGUGCGAAAACGUGGAAGUUGAUGUAUACGGACUGACGCCUGCCCGGUGCUGGAAGGUUAAGAGGACCUGUUAGGGCAUUUUUUGUCCGAAGCGGAGAAUUUAAGCCCCAGUAAACGGCGGUGGUAACUAUAACCAUCCUAAGGUAGCGAAAUUCCUUGUCGGGUAAGUUCCGACCUGCACGAAUGGCGUAACGACUUCCCUGCUGUCUCAACCACAGGCCCGGUGAAAUUGCAGUACGAGUAAAGAUGCUCGUUACGCGCGGCAGGACGAAAAGACCCCGGGACCUUCACUAUAGCUUGGUAUUGGUGUUUGGUUCGGUUUGUGUAGGAUAGGUGGGAGACUGUGAAGUGGUCACGCUAGUGGUUGUGGAGUCGAAAGUUGAAAUACCACUCUGAUCGGAUUGAGCACCU
rnacentral:rRNA from 1 species